GAAUCAUGGUAAAACAUCCAAAAUCAUCAAGUCUUUCCCUGGACAAACAGGAAGGUGCACCGAGCUCUUGGAGAAGUUGCUGAACAUCCUAAAGACUUUUGGGCAGAUGAUGACAGAUAUCCUCCUAAUGCUUAACUGCGAUAAGCGAAGCAAGAAACACUUUGUGGUAUCUGUGUCAAGUACAUAUAAUCU